rnacentral:rRNA from 1 species
GGGUUGUGAGGUUAAGCGACUAAGCGUACACGGUGGAUGCCCUGGCAGUCAGAGGCGAUGAAGGGCGUGCUAAUCUGCGAUAAGCGCCGGUAAGGUGAUAUGAACCGUUAUAACCGGCGAUACCCGAAUGGGGAAACCCAGUGUGAUUCGUCACACUAUCAUUAACUGAAUCCAUAGGUUAAUGAGGCGAACCGGGGGAACUGAAACAUCUAAGUACCCCGAGGAAAAGAAAUCAACCGAGAUUCCCCCAGUAGCGGCGAGCGAACGGGGAGGAGCCCAGAGCCUGAAUCAGCAUGUGUGUUAGUGGAAGCGUCUGGAAAGGCGCGCGAUACAGGGUGACAGCCCCGUACACAAAAGCGCAUGUGCUGUGAGCUCGAUGAGUAGGGCGGGACACGUGGUAUCCUGUCUGAAUAUGGGGGGACCAUCCUCCAAGGCUAAAUACUCCUGACUGACCGAUAGUGAACCAGUACCGUGAGGGAAAGGCGAAAAGAACCCCGGCGAGGGGAGUGAAAAAGAACCUGAAACCGUGUACGUACAAGCAGUGGGAGCCCCACCACUAAGCCAGUGGUGAACUCCACAUACGCAUCCUUUGCUGAGGAGACGGUUAACGGAGCGAAAGCGACGUUCAACCUCAAAACAAGCAGAGGGGGCUUAGUGGUGGGGUGACUGCGUACCUUUUGUAUAAUGGGUCAGCGACUUAUAUUCUGUAGCAAGGUUAACCGAAUAGGGGAGCCGGAGGGAAACCGAGUCUUAAUUGGGCGUUAAGUUGCAGGGUAUAGACCCGAAACCCGGUGAUCUAGCCAUGGGCAGGUUGAAGGUUGGGUAACACUAACUGGAGGACCGAACCGACUAAUGUUGAAAAAUUAGCGGAUGACCUGUGGCUGGGGGUGAAAGGCCAAUCAAACCGGGAGAUAGCUGGUUCUCCCCGAAAGCUAUUUAGGUAGCGCCUCGUGAAUUCAUCUCCGGGGGUAGAGCACUGUUUCGGCUAGGGGGCCAUCCCGGCUUACCAACCCGAUGCAAACUGCGAAUACCGGAGAAUGUUAUCACGGGAGACACACGGCGGGUGCUAACGUCCGUCGUGAAGAGGGAAACAACCCAGACCGCCAGCUAAGGUCCCAAAGUCAUGGUUAAGUGGGAAACGAUGUGGGAAGGCCCAGACAGCCAGGAUGUUGGCUUAGAAGCAGCCAUCAUUUAAAGAAAGCGUAAUAGCUCACUGGUCGAGUCGGCCUGCGCGGAAGAUGUAACGGGGCUAAACCAUGCACCGAAGCUGCGGCAGCGACACUGUGUGUUGUUGGGUAGGGGAGCGUUCUGUAAGCCUGUGAAGGUGGCCUGUGAGGGUUGCUGGAGGUAUCAGAAGUGCGAAUGCUGACAUAAGUAACGAUAAAGCGGGUGAAAAGCCCGCUCGCCGGAAGACCAAGGGUUCCUGUCCAACGUUAAUCGGGGCAGGGUGAGUCGACCCCUAAGGCGAGGCCGAAAGGCGUAGUCGAUGGGAAACGGGUUAAUAUUCCCGUACUUGGUGUUACUGCGAAGGGGGGACGGAGAAGGCUAUGUUGGCCGGGCGACGGUUGUCCCGGUUUAAGCGUGUAGGUGUGUGUUCCAGGUAAAUCCGGUUCACUUUAACACUGAGGCGUGAUGACGAGGCACUACGGUGCUGAAGCAACAAAUGCCCUGCUUCCAGGAAAAGCCUCUAAGCAUCAGGUAACAUCAAAUCGUACCCCAAACCGACACAGGUGGUCAGGUAGAGAAUACCAAGGCGCUUGAGAGAACUCGGGUGAAGGAACUAGGCAAAAUGGUGCCGUAACUUCGGGAGAAGGCACGCUGACACGUAGGUGAAGUGAUUUACUCAUGGAGCUGAAGUCAGUCGAAGAUACCAGCUGGCUGCAACUGUUUAUUAAAAACACAGCACUGUGCAAACACGAAAGUGGACGUAUACGGUGUGACGCCUGCCCGGUGCCGGAAGGUUAAUUGAUGGGGUCAGCGCAAGCGAAGCUCCUGAUCGAAGCCCCGGUAAACGGCGGCCGUAACUAUAACGGUCCUAAGGUAGCGAAAUUCCUUGUCGGGUAAGUUCCGACCUGCACGAAUGGCGUAAUGAUGGCCAGGCUGUCUCCACCCGAGACUCAGUGAAAUUGAACUCGCUGUGAAGAUGCAGUGUACCCGCGGCAAGACGGAAAGACCCCGUGAACCUUUACUAUAGCUUGACACUGAACAUUGAGCCUUGAUGUGUAGGAUAGGUGGGAGGCUUUGAAGCGUGGACGCCAGUCUGCGUGGAGCCGACCUUGAAAUACCACCCUUUAAUGUUUGAUGUUCUAACGUGGACCCGUAAUCCGGGUUGCGGACAGUGUCUGGUGGGUAGUUUGACUGGGGCGGUCUCCUCCUAAAGAGUAACGGAGGAGCACGAAGGUUGGCUAAUCCUGGUCGGACAUCAGGAGGUUAGUGCAAUGGCAUAAGCCAGCUUGACUGCGAGCGUGACGGCGCGAGCAGGUGCGAAAGCAGGUCAUAGUGAUCCGGUGGUUCUGAAUGGAAGGGCCAUCGCUCAACGGAUAAAAGGUACUCCGGGGAUAACAGGCUGAUACCGCCCAAGAGUUCAUAUCGACGGCGGUGUUUGGCACCUCGAUGUCGGCUCAUCACAUCCUGGGGCUGAAGUAGGUCCCAAGGGUAUGGCUGUUCGCCAUUUAAAGUGGUACGCGAGCUGGGUUUAGAACGUCGUGAGACAGUUCGGUCCCUAUCUGCCGUGGGCGCUGGAGAACUGAGGGGGGCUGCUCCUAGUACGAGAGGACCGGAGUGGACGCAUCACUGGUGUUCGGGUUGUCAUGCCAAUGGCACUGCCCGGUAGCUAAAUGCGGAAGAGAUAAGUG